rnacentral:lncRNA from 1 species
UAGGACCUUGCUACAAGGAUUCAAGGCUCACCUAGGCCAAGCUAAAAGAUUAUGGGUUGAAGAACUAUACCACGUACUUUGGGUAUAUCACACAACUCUGUGAGUUCCAACCAUAGAGACCCCCUUUAAACUGACUUCGAGACUGAGGCCGUCAUACCUCUUGAGAUCGACUUACCCACAUUAUGAGUGGAAGAGUUCGAUGAAGAUAGCAACUCUAUUGGGCUG